rnacentral:ncRNA from 1 species
AGGGUAGAGGACGCGGGCAUCAUCAGUAAAUAGGGAAAGAAGGCAGAUUCGUAUUCCCCGAUGAAAGGGAUGGUCCGCCGAAGUCGACCACCGUCUGCCGCGGUGUUCGGCUGGCCCGACGGAUAAGAUCCGUCGGACUGUCACGACGAUUCGUUGUCGUGGAGCGCUCUCUUG